AUGAAACGUGAGAAUAAGUGCUGCAGACUCUGCGAAAACACUUUGAAAAGACUUAAAACUACUGAAUUGGGGUUUGAAGUGAGAAACUACGGGAGGAUUUUUGUAUCUGUUCCUUUACACUCCGAUGAUGAGAUAGGGGCCAGAUUCAUCCCUGUAUCAUCUGGUGCUGCAGGCUUCUUCUGGUGUAACGGCUGCAGCUGGAGCAGUGCUGUGCUGUAGGACUUCUGAUAGGUGCUGCAAGCAGCCUGGGAAGGGCUCGGGGUAAAUGUUCGGAUGUUUCAGAAUUGCCUUAUUGAAGCAGAGACUGAGAAGCAAACUUAAAUUUUGCGAGAACCUUUGUGAAGGCAAACUCAUGCAGGUUCUGUAAAAAGUGCUGUGUCUGAGAAAAGAUUUAUACAUUUUUUCUUGUGUUAAUUAACAGAUUGGGUGAAUUAUAUGAUAUAAUAUGAUUAUGAUUUAAUUGAUAUGAUUAUGAUGUGAAUGAUAUGAUAUAAUAUGAUAUAUGAUAUGAUAUGAUAUAUGAUAUGAUAUAUGAUAUGAUGUGAUAAACUGCUUGGGAUCCCAAUUAUACAGAUAUUUAAAUGUCUGUCCACAGUUCAUCUCCUCAGUUCUCUUCAAGAGAUGAGCAUCUGAAAACCUAAAUGGAAAGCAGAAGAAACAUGUCUUGACUUCAGCCCCUAUCUUUGCUCCCGCAUUUAUCUCACAUUGCUCUGAUGAGGUCAAAGGAUGGCAGAGAUGUAUCCAAAGGCACGAUCGAGCCUUUUAUCAAUGCAACAGAAAUGUAAAGGUGGUUUGUCAGACAGCAGGACCAGAUCCUUGCCCAGAGCAAGUAGCUUUAAUGUGUCGACUUGGGAUUGAGCUGUUACACUUGACUUGGGGUGACUGGGGGUCCCCGUUUCGUGAUGGCUGUUAAUGCAUUUGUUUAAAAUGUUUUAUUUCACUUUUCAUGCCAAAUAUGCUAGGAAAAGAGUGCUUUCCUUGUGACAGAUUUCAUUUCAAACGGGGCUUGUGCUGAAUGAGUUGAGGCCACUAAAUUCAUUUCACUGAGGAGCAGAGAGUGGAUGAAAUGAGAUCCUAAACAGGAAAGAUCAAUACUUUAUUUACUACAAUAAACCCUAAACCCAAGUUUAUCAUUAACUAGUCUUAUUUUCUGUUCAUAUUUGUUGUUGUGGUCUGACG
rnacentral:lncRNA from 1 species